AACGAACGCUGGCGGCAUGACUAACACAUGCAAGUCGAACGAAGCCUUCGGGCUUAGUGGCGCACGGUUGCGUAACGCGUGGGAAUGUGCCCUUGGGUUCGGAAUAACAGUUAGAAAUGACUGCUAAUACCGGAUGAUGUCUUCGGACCAAAGACUUAUCGCCCGAGGAUGAGCCCGCGUAGGAUUGGGUAGUUGGUGGGGUAAUGGCCCACCAAGCCGACGAUCCUUAGCUGGUCUGAGAGGAGGAUCAGCCACACUGGGACUGAGACACGGCCCAGACUCCUACGGGAGGCAGCAGUGGGGAAUAUUGGACAAUGGGCGAAAGCCUGAUCCAGCAAUGCCGCGUGAGUGAUGAAGGCCUUAGGGUUGUAAAGCUCUUUUACCAGGGAUGAUAAUGACAGUACCUGGAGAAUAAGCUCCGGCUAACUCCGUGCCAGCCGCCGCAGUAA
rnacentral:rRNA from 1 species